CCUUUAGCUGGCACACUUUGCAGGGGCUGGUUGUACGUAGCUUGGGGCACGAGCAUUGUGGCAUUGUGGGACAUUGUUUCAGCCUGCAACUUGAGGGUUAUGAGCUGGGGAAGAGACAGUUAAAGCUUCCUCGCACCAGCAAGAUGAGUUGUACCACACAGCGCCCAUGCCAAGGUCAGCAGUCUGAAUGGAGCUGAGACAUUUACUGCCUGUGCCAAGCAGUGCCAAGCACCUCUGGAAGCCCCUGCCUAGGACCCCCAGAUUUAGAUUCAUGCUGCAGUCUGGAGAGUGUUUUGACGGCUGCCGGGCUACAGGGAAAAGCACACUGCACACUGCCUCUGAGAUGAGACAGAGCUCUACAGGCUGGGAGUCUGAGGAAGCCGGACCUGGGUAGCGCUGCUCAGGGAAAAGCAAAGCCCACUUCACCAUUGGCCAUCAGGUCCCAGGAGGAUCACUUUUCUUAUGCAGCAUCCUACCUCUGCGCCAUGGGAAGAAGCCAACCCACUUUCCAAUGGCAAAACCGAGUUCAUACACACCAUAUUCUUCAGCGUCUGUACUUCCCCUGCCAGUUGGAUCUGUGUUCUUUUGCAGUUCUGGGGACUUUUCAAGACUCUACUGAUUAAAUCUGCAAAGAAUAUCAAUAAUGCAAUUCAGAAACUGGCUUUCUGAGCUAUGGCGGUGUCUUUCCCUCUCUUUGUGACCAAGUCCGUGAGCUCUCUUGCCUUUGAAGAUCCACGAUGUUUUAAACUCAUGAGACCCAAGGUAGAAGUGUCCAGACAACUAGGAGCUAAGUCAAGCUGCUUCCAUUUGCAAGCCAGGACUUGACUGGAGGGAAUACAAUGGAGGUGAAGACAUUUCCGUGUUAACCUGUGAGUGCCUUUGGACCAUGAGAAUAAUGUAUCUUUGGGAAAGACAAUGGGGUGGCUGCUUGUUGAUGCCUCCUGGGUUGCUGUUUGAUGAGCUCUGAAAUACCCACUCUGUUCACACACAGGGUCAUGGAAGGCACGGGGGUCUUAAGUGCACUCGUCCUAGGGUCGUCAGUGAGCUAUGUGCAGAUGAGCCCCUCUGCUUCUCCUGGAAUCAUCAUUAGAUGGCCAGAAAGGAUCUCCAUGUUGGACUCUGUUCUGAUGCAUCCUGUCUGCAGGGAUAGAGAACACCGGAGCUAAAGAAACCCCAGCUUUUCUAGAGAGUCUGGAUUAAUCUGAACUACAUGGAUUACGUUCAAGCCCAGGAUGAGUGGCUCAAAGCACGGCUGUGAGCGAGUGAGCCGAAGAAAAAUUGGGAUCAUAUUUUAUUCAACCAAGAGAAAUGGAAUCCAGCAUAGUAGAUUUCAUGUUCUUGGGAAAUAUGUCCUGUCAAUGCUGUUAUUGAGAAGAAAGGCAGAGAACACAUCCUCCCAGUCAAGGAAGAGAAGAAGAUGUGGCCAUGGCUUUGUGAGCUGUGGCAGGGAGGGGGACCUAGCAUGGGAGCAAAGGUUUCUGGAAGCUUCCAGACAACCAAGUGUGGGUGUCAGAUCCCUGUGAGUGGUUAUUGCAGAAGACUUCCUGUGUUUUCUGUGGAUAAAUACACAAAAGUAUUUAUUACUUCAGCACAGGCAGGCUUUAUACAUUUGGUUGUAACAACUGCAUUAGAAACUUUGCCCUCACAUGGAUCCUAAGAGGAGUGUUAUUGUCAUGGUUGUUUAUUUCUUUUUUGCUCUCUCUUUUUUUAAUAGAGACAGAUACAGGAGAGAAGA
ensembl:lincRNA